rnacentral:rRNA from 1 species
AACAACUCACCUGCCGAAUGAAUUAGCCCUGAAAAUGGAUGGCGCUGAAGCGGGUAGCCGACACUACGCCAUCUGAGCAAUUUUUGCCUUAGAUGAGUAGGAGGACGUGGCGGUUGUAUAGAAGCGUGUGCGCAAGCAUGCGUGGAACGGCCGCUAGUGCAGAUCUUGGUGGUAGUAGCAAAUAUUCAAAUGCGAACCUUGAAGGGCGAAGCGGGGAAGGGUUCCACGCGAACAUUGAUUGAGCGUGGGUAAGUCGUCCCUAAGCCGUCUGGUAAUUGCUAGACACCGGCGAAAGGGAAGCAGGUUGAUAUUCCUGCACACGGAUGUAGAUGCGGUGACGCACGCUGAGGCGGUGACGUCGUCGGGCCGCACUGGGCAGAGAUUUCUUUUCUGUUUAACAAACCAAACGCACUCUGUGGAAUCCGAUUGUCGGGAGAAACAGGUGUGUUGUGGCAUAGCGCCGGGAUUUUUCUGGCGUCCAGUUCGCGACCGACGGCCCCUGAAAAACCGUCUGCUGGCAGGUGAUUUAUCAUCUGUGGAAAAAUUCUACGCCGUAACGUACCGAUAACCGCAUCAGGUCCCCAAGGUGAACAGCCUCUGCUCGAUAUGAAAAAU